rnacentral:rRNA from 1 species
UACGAGUGCCCCGAGCGUUAUCCGGAAUUAUUGGGCGUAAAGGGUGUGUAGGUGGUUUUGUUAGUCUUCUGUUAAAGCUCCCGGCUUAACUGGGAAAAUGCAGAGGAAACGGCAAGACUAGAGGAUGUAAGGGGUGAGCGGAACUCAUGGUGUAGGAGUGAAAUCCGUUGAUAUCAUGGGGAACACCGAAAGCGAAGGCAGCUCACUGGUGCAUUCCUGACACUGAAACACGAAAGCGUGGGUAGCGAAUGGG